UUUUAUUGAAAUAAUAUAAAAAAUAAAAUAUAUAUUGACAUGGCUUAAACAAAGAUAUAUAUUAUUCUAUGUUGUAUAAACAAAUUGGCAAAAUAGAGAUGGAAGAUAAAAAUAUGGUCAAAGUAAUAAGAGUCUAUGGUGAAUGCCUAGGAGCUUUAAGGCGAAGAAGGUCGUGGUAAGCUGCGAAAAGCUUGGGGGAGAAGCAAACAUUUAUUGAUCCCAAGAUUACCGAAUGGAGUAAUCCAGCUAGCAAGAUGCUAGCCAUCUAUUAUUUAAAUAAUAGAGGCGAUACC
rnacentral:misc_RNA from 1 species